rnacentral:lncRNA from 1 species
AAAAAUUAAAUAUUAGACUAAUAAAUUAAAAACAACUAAAAUAAGAAAUGCAAAUAAAACAAACAUAAGACAUAUAUAAAUAAAAAUAGAAAUAUCAAUGUAUAGAUGUAGUUUAUAUAAUAUUCCAAAUGAGAUAAUAUAUAAAACGAGUUACGUAAAUACGAGAAAUAUAAAAGAGAGAUAAAAUAAGAUGAAAUGGUGAAAUCAUAUAGUAGGGAUGUCAUCUUCCUGAGAGGCUCCACGGAGCAUGGCU